AUGGAGGCGGGCGCGUCGUCAGGGACGGGGAGCUUUCCGGCCGAAGACGGUGAGAUUUGGGUGCCCGUGCUGUCCGAUCCUCUGGAUGGGGGCUCGAAUUCGCCGACCCAGGCGGAGAUUGAAGUCUAUUCAGCAUAUCUGGAUUAUGACGCCAUGGACUUCCAAGCAGUCUUAGAAGGACCCCAAGAUGAACAUGAUAUUGAAAAAUUGUUUGGAGGUGCAAUGUUUACUUCUUGCGGUGCACGCAGUCCUACUUAUAUAAAGGAGGCGAAUUUAACUCAUGAGAUUGAAUGUGAAUUUUAUUCACCAACUAGUGAUCAUGGCAUGAUACAAACACUUGCGCCUGCGUCACCAGAAACCAAGGAGAUAAGGGGGAGGAGGAGAUCUGCGCCGGCCACGGCGCUUCCUGAGAAAGAGGAGGCCCCUGUCACCAUGGCCCUAGGUGGAGGAGGAGAGGAGGACAAGAAGAGAAAGGGAGGAGGGAAAGGGCACCCGCUGCCUUGUCACCGGAGAAGCAUGAGGCUUGCGCUCGCCGCCACGCCGCUGGAGGAGGGGGCUUGUGCUACCUUCAUAGUAGACCUGCUAGAUUACAUGCCGAAAAGUGGUUGGAGGCACCGAAGUCGCGUGAGAAGUGCACGCAAGAGAGGAAUAUGGUCGUUAAACACGGAACAAACUUUCCUUCUGCCUAACCAUUUAGGGGACAUGAGCUCUACAUGUAAAGGCAAAAAAUGUGGGCACAGAAAAAACAAUGACCACUGGACAUACGAAGAGAUGAAAAAACUAGUGGAUGCUCUGUAUAUAUCUGGGGUUGGAAAUUGGACGAAGUUGAAACAUGAGAACUUUUCAAGAUCAGUUCGAACAUCAAUGAAUCUUAAGGAUAAAUGGAGAAAUCUUAAGAAAGCCUACACGGGAAAUGCUAAAAAAAGGAUCUUGCCGACUCUAGACAAGGAUUGUGUCGAAAAGAUCCAGAAGCUAGCCUCCAAAAUGAAGCUGCACUUGUGA
rnacentral:rRNA from 1 species